rfam:Gorilla gorilla gorilla genomic chromosome, chr3, whole genome shotgun sequence
GCUGGGUAUGGUGGCUCAUACCUGUAAUCCCAGCACUUUGGGAGGCUGAGGCAGGUGGAUCACUUGAGGUCAGGAGUUCAAGACCAGCCUGGCCAACAUGGUGAAACCCUGUCUCUA